ensembl:snRNA U6 U6 spliceosomal RNA
GUGCUAGCUUUGGCAGUACAUACACUAAAACUGGAACAAGACAGAGAUUAGCAUGGCCAUGCACAAGGAUGACACAAAAAUUCGUGAGAGUUUUGCUGGUUUA